AAGUUAUUAAGGGCGCACGGUGGAUGCCUUGGCACUAGAAGCCGAUGAAGGACGUUACUAACGACGAUAUGCUUUGGGGAGCUGUAAGUAAGCUUUGAUCCAGAGAUUUCCGAAUGGGGAAACCCAGCAUGAGUUAUGUCAUGUUAUCGAUAUGUGAAUACAUAGCAUAUCAGAAGGCACACCCGGAGAACUGAAACAUCUUAGUACCCGGAGGAAGAAAAAGAAAAUUCGAUUCCCUUAGUAGCGGCGAGCGAAACGGGAAGAGCCCAAACCAACAAGCUUGCUUGUUGGGGUUGUAGGACACUCUAUACGGAGUUACAAAGGACGACAUUAGACGAAUCAUCUGGAAAGAUGAAUCAAAGAAGGUAAUAAUCCUGUAGUCGAAAAUGUUGUCUCUCUUGAGUGGAUCCUGAGUACGACGGAACACGUGAAAUUCCGUCGGAAUCUGGGAGGACCAUCUCCUAAGGCUAAAUACUCUCUAGUGACCGAUAGUGAACCAGUACCGUGAGGGAAAGGUGAAAAGCACCCCGGAAGGGGAGUGAAAUAGAACCUGAAACCGUGUGCUUACAAGUAGUCAGAGCCCGUUAAUGGGUGAUGGCGUGCCUUUUGUAGAAUGAACCGGCGAGUUACGAUUUGAUGCAAGGUUAAGCAGUAAAUGUGGAGCCGUAGCGAAAGCGAGUCUGAAUAGGGCGUUUAGUAUUUGGUCGUAGACCCGAAACCAGGUGAUCUACCCUUGGUCAGGUUGAAGUUCAGGUAACACUGAAUGGAGGACCGAACCGACUUACGUUGAAAAGUGAGCGGAUGAACUGAGGGUAGCGGAGAAAUUCCAAUCGAACCUGGAGAUAGCUGGUUCUCUCCGAAAUAGCUUUAGGGCUAGCCUCAAGUGAUGAUUAUUGGAGGUAGAGCACUGUUUGGACGAGGGGCCCCUCUCGGGUUACCGAAUUCAGACAAACUCCGAAUGCCAAUUAAUUUAACUUGGGAGUCAGAACAUGGGUGAUAAGGUCCGUGUUCGAAAGGGAAACAGCCCAGACCACCAGCUAAGGUCCCAAAAUAUAUGUUAAGUGGAAAAGGAUGUGGCGUUGCCCAGACAACUAGGAUGUUGGCUUAGAAGCAGCCAUCAUUUAAAGAGUGCGUAAUAGCUCACUAGUCGAGUGACACUGCGCCGAAAAUGUACCGGGGCUAAACAUAUUACCGAAGCUGUGGAUUGUCCUUUGGACAAUGGUAGGAGAGCGUUCUAAGGGCGUUGAAGCAUGAUCGUAAGGACAUGUGGAGCGCUUAGAAGUGAGAAUGCCGGUGUGAGUAGCGAAAGACGGGUGAGAAUCCCGUCCACCGAUUG
rnacentral:rRNA from 1 species